rnacentral:rRNA from 1 species
UACGUAGGUGGCGAGCGUUGUCCGGAUUUAUUGGGCGUAAAGGGAGCGUAGGCGGAUUUUUAAGUGAGAUGUGAAAUACUCGGGCUCAACUUGAGUGCUGCAUUUCAAACUGGAAGUCUAGAGUGCAGGAGAGGAGAAUGGAAUUCCUAGUGUAGCGGUGAAAUGCGUAGAGAUUAGGAAGAACACCAGUGGCGAAGGCGAUUCUCUGGACUGUAACUGACGCUGAGGCUCGAAAGCGUGGGGAGCAAACAGG